ACUCCUACGGGAGGCAGCAGUGGGGAAUUUUGGACAAUGGGCGAAAGCCUGAUCCAGCCAUGCCGCGUGCAGGAUGAAGGCCUUCGGGUUGUAAACUGCUUUUGUACGGAACGAAACGGCCUUUUCUAAUAAAGAGGGCUAAUGACGGUACCGUAAGAAUAAGCACCGGCUAACUACGUGCCAGCAGCCGCGGUAAUACGUAGGGUGCAAGCGUUAAUCGGAAUUACUGGGCGUAAAGCGUGCGCAGGCGGUUAUGUAAGACAGUUGUGAAAUCCCCGGGCUCAACCUGGGAACUGCAUCUGUGACUGCAUAGCUAGAGUACGGUAGAGGGGGAUGGAAUUCCGCGUGUAGCAGUGAAAUGCGUAGAUAUGCGGAGGAACACCGAUGGCGAAGGCAAUCCCCUGGACCUGUACUGACGCUCAUGCACGAAAGCGUGGGGAGCAAACAGGAUUAGAUACCCCUGUAGUCCCAUGA
rnacentral:rRNA from 1 species